GAUGAACGCUGGCGGCGUGCCUAAUACAUGCAAGUCGAGCGAACAGACGAGGAGCUUGCUCCUCUGACGUUAGCGGCGGACGGGUGAGUAACACGUGGAUAACCUACCUAUAAGACUGGGAUAACUUCGGGAAACCGGAGCUAAUACCGGAUAAUAUAUUGAACCGCAUGGUUCAAUAGUGAAAGACGGUUUUGCUGUCACUUAUAGAUGGAUCCGCGCCGCAUUAGCUAGUUGGUAAGGUAACGGCUUACCAAGGCGACGAUGCGUAGCCGACCUGAGAGGGUGAUCGGCCACACUGGAACUGAGACACAGUCCAGACACCUACGGGAGGCAGCAGUAGGGAAUCUUCCGCAAUGGGCGAAAGCCUGACGGAGCAACGCCGCGUGAGUGAUGAAGGUCUUCGGAUCGUAAAACUCUGUUAUUAGGGAAGAACAAAUGUGUAAGUAACUAUGCACGUCUUGACGGUACCUAAUCAGAAAGCCACGGCUAACUACGUG
rnacentral:rRNA from 1 species